GUAAAAAACUCUUUAUGUGGCUCUUAAAAGGCACAGUGAGAAUGUUCAACUUCAGAACCUUAGCGGGACUCUAAAGCCGCACAGCUUUUUGGUCGCCUAGUUCAAAGUUGUGAGACAUGGACGGCUUCCUUGCCAAGUACCUUGCUAUAGGGCUUGCUAGUGCACUCGUUGCGCUGAUGGUUGCCCCCUACAGCGCUGAAGCAUUUCCUCCGCCAUUCGUAAUAGAAGCUGCCGCAAAAGCACUUGAAAACCUUUUUGGAAGGAAUGAGCAAAAGUCCGAGGAGUGAGGUCGACGCAUAGCCAUGUGGCCCUCCUGCAGAGCAUGAAUGCGCAAGUCUAAUAAAAUUCAAUCAAUUCAAUGAAGCUGCCGACUGAUGUAGACACAAUAAAUUGGAAACCUUGGAGACAAGUUAACUAUA